UGGGGAAUCUUUGGACAAUGGGGGCGAACCCUCGAUCCAGCCAUGCCGCGUGAGUGAUGAAGGCCUUAGGGUCGUAAAGCUCUUUCGCCUGUGAAGAUAAUGACGGUAGCAGGUAAAGAAACCCCGGCUACUCCGUGCCAGCAGCCGCGGUAAUAUGGGAGGGGUUAGCGUUGUUCGGAAUUACUGGGCGUAAAGCGCACGUAGGCGGACCAGAAAGUUGGGGGUGAAAUCCCGGGGCUCAACCCCGGAACUGCCUCCAAACUAUUGGUCUAGAGUUCGAGAGAGGUGAGUGGAAUUCCAAGUGUAGAGGUGAAAUUCGUAGAUAUUUGGAGGAACACCAGUGGCGAAGGCGGCUCACUGGCUCGAUACUGACGCUGAGGUGCGAAAGUGUGGGGAGCAAACAGGAUUAGAUACCCUGGUAGUCCACACCGUAAACGAUGAAUGCCAGUCGUCGGGUAGCAUGCUAUUCGGUGACACACCUAACGGA
rnacentral:rRNA from 1 species